GAAGGGACAGGGGCCCCGCGGGCAGGACAAGGCGGGCGGCUCUCCCUCUGGGGACAGCGCCCGGGACCAGGAAGACUUGUCUGCUGCUCGAGCUGAGCCCGCGAGGGCUGUAAUUAAUUGAGACAGGACAAGAUGCUUUAAAAAUUUUAUGAUCGAUUUGCAUAAUGGAUCUUUGUUUUAAAAAAAGGAAAGAACAAAACGCAAGCUCUCAGGCAUCCUGGCGAAGCUCCCCCUGCAGACGCGACCUGCCGGAAGCCGGCAUUUCUGACCACAGAGCUUUUCCACGAAAAAUCAGGUUUAUUGCCUUUUCUCGUCUGAUUAUAUAUAUAAAACAACAACAACGCGGGCUCACUGGAUGAGGUUUGGGGAAUGCGGAAAGGGACAGCGACGCUUUAAUAUCUUGCCACGGGAAGGAUCUGGCAGUGAUGGAUGGUGUGUUUUCUGUUCUUACCUCGGAAGUGGUCCCCUGAUAGCCUCUCCUGUAGCAGCACAAGCUUCCGUGCACUUCAUAAAUUCUCUGGCAGCCCAGCCGACGGCCCCGUGUACUUUUAUUACUGGAGGCUAAUUGCCCCGUCUCCGUCUGCUCCUGGGAUGGAGAAGGCUUCUGCGGGCGGGGGGAGGGAGGGUGGCGCUCUGGGGGAGGAAGCCUCUCGGUUCCGGCAUGGCAAUGGGGAAGAGUACGGAAACCAGGCCGAGGCAUCAGGGCGGGUGUCUGACGCGCGCUCCCUGCUCGCUCAGCAAAAGGCGAAGCAGCCACAUGCCUCUGUCCCUUAACCUUGGGGGCAACUUGCCAAGGAGGUGGUGUCAUUGAACCAUUUUCCAGACGAGGAAGCUGAGGGAGAGGUGGCUUGCCCGAGGUCACACAGCUAGUGGGAGCCAGAGCAGAGGCUCAACCCAGGCCACCUGAGCUGCAGUGCCGCUGAAGCCAGGAAAUCGUACGUGCAGAAGAAGGCGCGUAGGCUGCAGCGGGCAGGUUUUUAAGAUGGCUGCCAGGGGUACACCCUUCCAGGUCUCCUCCCUUCAAGUGGGCGGGACUCAGAGUAUGAUGAGACGUCACUCCGUGGAUAGGUUACAUGCGACGGCAAGGUGAAGUGACCCGGCAGAUGUGACCGAAGUCUCUACUUGGCGGCCUUUAAGUUCGUUAAAAGGGAGAUGGUUCUGGGUGGGCCUGACCUAAUCAGGUGAGCGCUUUAGCUGAAAAGCCUAGAGGUCAGAGAAGAAAAAAGUCAGAGAGAUUUGAAGCAGCAGAGACUCCUCUGUUGACCUUGAGAAAAUAAGCUGCCAUAUUGUGGAGGCGGGGGGAAUCACAUGGAAAGGAAGAGCAGGUGACCCCUAGGCGUUGAGGGUCUCAAUCCCACAACUGCAAGGAGCUGAAUUCGUACGACAACCAGUGCAUUGGGAAGAGGGACCCUGAGUCUAUGAUGCGAGAGCUAUUGUGUGAGGUCAUAAAGAGCAUGUGGUCACCAGUUGACCUUCAGGCUGGUCAGCCAAUGGACACUCAUCACUCCCUCCCCCGUCCUUGGAUGGUACAUUCUGCUUGCCUCCCCCAUUCCCAGAGGCUGCCCCAAAGAUACAGCCUUGAGAUAGCUUGUGUUGACAGCCUGUGGCUGGUAUGUGUGAUUGAACCCAGUUAAGGCCUCUAUAUAAAGCUUUGAGAUUUGGUGGGGGAGUGGGGAGAUCCGCUCAUCUCGGGGUGCCCCCUUGCUUAUUGGAACUGCCACCCACCAAUCUGGGGUGGUAUCCUUCUUUCUUCACCCUCUCCGUGCCCUUCAAGUGUGGGGGCCAGAUUCAGAUGGCAUCCGAGGAGCUCCCAGCCCUGGCUGCCACCUUGAUUUCAGCCUAGUGAGACCCUGAGCAGGGGACCCAGCUAACCUGGACCUUGGCUCUCGACCUUUGGAAACUGCAAGUCACAGCUUCAAAGCCCCUCCAUGUGCUCGUCAAGACCCAGUCUCACCAGGCAGCAGAAAGGACUCUUAAGGACUCCAGGAUGCUGUGCUCUAAGCUGGAGGCAGAGUCCUGCUGUCACAAAUGACAGCAUGAGUGGCCCGUCCUGACUGACGUGUGGCCCCACCGAAUCCCCCACACAGCCCGUGAGACAAGUGGGUGUUUCCCUUACUUCACAGAUGAAGGAAAUGAACCUCACGAGGUUGUGGUCUCAUGGCUUCGUGGGUUUGAGCCCCAAGUCGGGCUCUG